UGAGGAAUAUUGGUCAAUGGGCGCGAGCCUGAACCAGCCAAGUCGCGUGAGGGAAGACGGCCCUACGGGUUGUAAACCUCUUUUGCCGGGGAGCAACGCUGCGGACGCGUCCGCAGGUGAGAGUACCCGGAGAAAAAGCAUCGGCUAACUCCGUGCCAGCAGCCGCGGUGAUACGGAGGAUGCGAGCGUUAUCCGGAUUUAUUGGGUUUAAAGGGUGCGCAGGCCGGCUGUCAAGUCAGCGGUAAAAAAUUCGGGGCUCAACCCCGUAAAGCCGUUGAAACUGGCGGUCUUGAGUAGCGGCGAGGCAUGCGGAAUGCGAGGUGUAGCGGUGAAAUGCUUAGAUAUGACGAAGAACUCCGAUUGCGAAGGCAGCCUGCUGUAGCGCAACUGACGCUGAAGCUCGAAAGCGUGGG
rnacentral:rRNA from 1 species